AGAGUUUGAUCCUGGCUCAGGAUGAACGCUAGCGGCAGGCUUAACACAUGCAAGUCGAGGGGCAGCGGGAAGGAAGCUUGCUUUCUCCGCCGGCGACCGGCGCACGGGUGAGUAACACGUAUGCAACCUGCCCCUGUCAGGGGGACAACCCGCCGAAAGGCGGGCUAAACCCGCGUACAUGCCACCGGGGCAUCCCGGAGGCAGGAAAGGCUUCGGCCGGACAGGGAUGGGCAUGCGGCGCAUUAGGCAGUAGGCGGGGUAACGGCCCACCUAACCGACGAUGCGUAGGGGUUCUGAGAGGAAGGUCCCCCACACUGGUACUGAGACACGGACCAGACUCCUACGGGAGGCAGCAGUGAGGAAUAUUGGUCAAUGGUCGGGAGACUGAACCAGCCAAGCCGCGUGAGGGAGGAAGGUACAGAGUAUCGUAAACCUCUUUUGUCAGGGAACAAAGGCGGGGACGUGUCCCCGGAUGAGUGUACCUGAAGAAAAAGCAUCGGCUAACUCCGUGCCAGCAGCCGCGGUAAUACGGAGGAUGCGAGCGUUAUCCGGAUUUAUUGGGUUUAAAGGGUGCGCAGGCGGUCUGUUAAGUCAGCGGUCAAAGCCCGGGGCUCAACCCCGGCCCGCCGUUGAAACUGGCAGUCUCGAGUUGGAGAGAAGUAUGCGGAAUGCGCGGUGUAGCGGUGAAAUGCAUAGAUAUCGCGCAGAACUCCGAUUGCGAAGGCAGCAUGCCGGCUCCACACUGACGCUGAGGCACGAAAGCGUGGGUAUCGAACAGGAUUAGAUACCCUGGUAGUCCACGCAGUAAACGAUGAAUGCUGGCUGUCCGGGGGGAUUGACCCCUGGGUGGCGAAGCGAAAGCGAUAAGCAUUCCACCUGGGGAGUACGCCGGCAACGGUGAAACUCAAAGGAAUUGACGGGGGCCCGCACAAGCGGAGGAACAUGUGGUUUAAUUCGAUGAUACGCGAGGAACCUUACCCGGGCUCAAACGGGGAGUGACUCAGGCAGAGACGCCUGUUUCCCACGGGACACUCCCCGAGGUGCUGCAUGGUUGUCGUCAGCUCGUGCCGUGAGGUGUCGGCUUAAGUGCCAUAACGAGCGCAACCCCCGCGUGCAGUUGCUAACAGUCAACGCUGAGGACUCUGCACGGACUGCCGGCGCAAGCCGCGAGGAAGGCGGGGAUGACGUCAAAUCAGCACGGCCCUUACGUCCGGGGCGACACACGUGUUACAAUGGGUGGUACAGCGGGAAGCCAGGCGGCGACGCCGAGCGGAACCCGAAAUCCACUCUCAGUUCGGAUCGGAGUCUGCAACCCGACUCCGUGAAGCUGGAUUCGCUAGUAAUCGCGCAUCAGCCAUGGCGCGGUGAAUACGUUCCCGGGCCUUGCACUCACCGCCCGUCA
rnacentral:rRNA from 1 species